rnacentral:rRNA from 1 species
GCUCGUAGUCGGAUUUUGGGCGCGUGUGAACUGUCAGCCUCUGGUUGGACGGUGCGCGCGUGCCUUUCUGCUUGGGAGCCCCAUGGUGGUUAAUUCUGUCGUGGUGGGUCACAGGCCGUUUACUUUGAAAAAAUUAGAGUGUUCAAAGCAGGCUGUUGCUUGAAUAGAUUAGCAUGGAAUAAUGGAAUAGGACCUUGGUGCUAUUUCGUUGGUUAUGGGACUGGGGUAAUGAUUAAUAGGGACAGUUGGGGCCGUUCAUAUUUCGUUGUCAGAGGUGAAAUUCUUGGAUUUACGAACGAUGAACUUGUGCGAAAGCAUUCGGCAAGGAUGUUUUCAUUGAUCAAGAACGAAAGUUAGGGGAUCGAAGACGAUCAGAUACCGUCGUAGUCUUAACCAUAAACUAUGCCAACUAGGGAUCAUUGAGUGUCAAUUUACGACCUCAUUGGCACCUUGUGAGAAAUCAAAGUUUUUGGGUUCCGGGGGGAGUAUGGUCGCAAGGCUGAAACUUAAAGGAAUUGACGGAAGGGCACCACCAGGAGUGGAGCCUGCGGCUUAAUUUGACUCAACACGGGGAAACUUACCAGGUCCAGACAUAGUCAGGAUGGACAGAUUGAAAGCUCUUUCUUGAUUCUAUGGGUGGUGGUGCAUGGCCGUUCUUAGUUGGUGGAGUGAUUUGUCU